AACGAACGCUGGCGGCAUGCCUAACACAUGCAAGUCGAACGAGACCUUCGGGUCUAGUGGCGCACGGGUGCGUAACGCGUGGGAACCUGCCCUUAGGUUCGGAAUAACUCCCCGAAAGGGGUGCUAAUACCGGAUAAUGUCUUCGGACCAAAGAUUUAUCGCCUUUGGAUGGGCCCGCGUUGGAUUAGCUAGUUGGUAGGGUAAAAGCCUACCAAGGCGACGAUCCAUAGCUGGUCUGAGAGGAUGAUCAGCCACACUGGGACUGAGACACGGCCCAGACUCCUACGGGAGGCAGCAGUGGGGAAUAGUGGACAAUGGGCGAAAGCCUGAUCCAGCAAUGCCGCGUGAGUGAUGAAGGCCUUAGGGUUGUAAAGCUCUUUUAACCGGGAUGAUAAUGACAGUACCGGGAGAAUAAGCGCCGGCUAACUCCGUG
rnacentral:rRNA from 1 species